rnacentral:rRNA from 1 species
UGAGGAAUAUUGGUCAAUGGGCGGGAGCCUGAACCAGCCAAGCCGCGUGAAGGAAGAAGGCGCCAGGCGUCGUAAACUUCUUUUGUUCGGGGAACAAAGGGCGCCACGCGUGGCGUUGUGAGUGUACCCGAAGAAAAGCAUCGGCUAACUCCGUGCC